rnacentral:rRNA from 1 species
UACGGAGGGGGCUAGCGUUGUUCGGAAUUACUGGGCGUAAAGCGCGCGUAGGCGGACCUGCAAGUCGGGGGGUGAAAGCCCGAGGCUCAACCUCGGAACUGCCUUCGAUACUGCGGGUCUCGAGUCCGGGAGAGGUGAGUGGAAUUCCUAGUGUAGAGGUGAAAUUCGUAGAUAUUAGGAAGAACACCAGUGGCGAAGGCGGCUCACUGGCUCGGUACUGACGCUGAGGCGCGAAAGCGUGGGGAGCAAACAGG